rnacentral:rRNA from 1 species
AUGGCUCAGGAUGAACGCUGGCGGCGUGCCUAAUACAUGCAAGUCGAGCGAGAAUCUUCAGAACAAUCUCGGAUGCGUUCAGGAGAGGAAAGCGGCGGACGGGUGAGUAACGCGUAGGCAACCUGCCCCUGGCAGAGGGAUAGCCAUUGGAAACGAUGAUUAAAACCUCAUAAAGCUCAAAGAGCACAUGCUCAUUGAGCCAAAGAUUUAUCGGCUGGGGAUGGGCCUGCGUCUGAUUAACUAGUUGGUGAGGUAACGGGCCCACCAAGGUGACGAUCAGUAGCCGACCUGAGAGGGUGAUCGGCCACAUUGGAACUGAGACACGGUCCAAACUUCUACGGAAGGCAGCAGUAAGGAAUCUUGCACAAUGGGGGAAACCCUGAUGCCAGCAACGCCGCGUGAACGAUGAAGGCCUUAGGGUUGUAAAGUUCUGAUCUGUGGGAAGAAGAAAGUGACGGUACCACAGGAGAAAGCCCCGGCUAAAUACGUGCCAGCAGCUGC